rnacentral:rRNA from 1 species
CAGAGGUGGCAAGCGUUGUUCGGAAUUACUGGGCGUAAAGGGCACGUAGGCGGCCAUCUAAGUCAGACGUGAAAUCCCCCGGCUCAACCGGGGAACGGGCGCGGAUACGACCUUCCUUGAGGAGCGUAGGGGGACCUGGAACUUCCGGUGGAGCGGUGAAAUGCGUUGAGAUCGGAAGGAACGCCCGUGGCGUAAGCGAGGUCCUGGACGCCUACUGACGCUGAGACGCGAAAGCCAGGGGAGUGAACGGGA